rnacentral:rRNA from 1 species
GAUGAACGCUGGCGGCGUGCCUAAUACAUGCAAGUCGAGCGAACGGACGAGGCGCUUGCUUCUCUGAUGUUAGCGGCGGACGGGUGAGUAACACGUGGAUAACCUACCUAUAAGACUGGGAUAACUUCGGGAAACCGGAGCUAAUACCGGAUAAUCUUUUGAACCGCAUGGUUCAAAGGUGAAAGACGGUCUUGCUGUCACUUAUAGAUGGAUCCGCGCUGCAUUAGCUAGUUGGUAAGGUAACGGCUUACCAAGGCAACGAUGCAUAGCCGACCUGAGAGGGUGAUCGGCCACACUGGAACUGAGACACGGUCCAGACUCCUACGGGAGGCGGCAGUAGGGAAUCGUCCGCAAUGGGCGAAAGCCUGACGGAGCAACGCCGCGUGAGUGAUGAAGGUCUUCGGAUCGUAAAACUCUGUUAUUAGGGAAGAACAUAUGUGUAAGUAACUGUGCACAUCUUGACGGUACCUAAUCAGAAAGCCACGGCUAACUACGUG